ACAGCAGCAGCCACGGUAAUACGGAGGGGGCUAGCGUUGUUCGGAAUUACUGGGCGUAAAGCGCACGUAGGCUGCUUUGUAAGUCAGAGGUGAAAGCCCGGGGCUCAACCCCGGAUGUGCCUUUGAGACUGCAGGGCUAGAACGUCGGAGAGGUGAGUGGAAUUCCGAGUGUAGAGGUGAAAUUCGUAGAUAUUCGGAAGAACACCAGUGGCGAAGGCGGCUCACUGGACGACUGUUGACGCUGAGGUGCGAAAGCGUGGGGAGCAAACAGGAUUAGAUACCCCUGUAGUCCCUGUCUCUUAUAC
rnacentral:rRNA from 1 species